rnacentral:rRNA from 1 species
UACGUAGGGACCUAGCGUUGUCCGGAAUCAUUGGGCGUAAAGCGCGCGUAGGCGGCCCGGUAAGUCCGUUGUAAAAGUCAAAGGCUCAACCUUUGAAAGCCGAUGGAUACUGCCGGGCUAGAGUACGGAAGAGGCGAGUAGAAUUCCCGGUGUAGCGGUGAAAUGCGCAGAUAUCGGGAGGAACACCCGUAGCGAAGGCGGCACUCUGGGCCGGAACUGACGCUGAGGAGCGAAAGCGUGGGGAGCAAACAGG